rnacentral:tRNA from 1 species
GUGUAGCUUAGAGCUAGAGUGCUUGCCUAGUAUGUAUGAAGCCCUGGGUUCAAUACCCAGCAC